ACGCACGCUGGCGGCGUGCCUAAUCCAUGCCAGUAGAACGCUGAAGGAGGAGCUUGCUUCUCUGGAUGAGUUGCGAACGGGUGAGUAACGCGUAGGUAACCUGCCUGGUAGCGGGGGAUAACUAUUGGAAACGAUAGCUAAUACCGCAUAAGAGUAGAUGUUGCAUGACAUUUGCUUAAAAGGUGCAAUUGCAUCACUACCAGAUGGACCUGCGUUGUAUUAGCUAGUUGGUGGGGUAACGGCUCACCAAGGCGACGAUACAUAGCCGACCUGAGAGGGUGAUCGGCCACACUGGGACUGAGACACGGCCCAGACUCCUACGGGAGGCAGCAGUAGGGAAUCUUCGGCAAUGGACGGAAGUCUGACCGAGCAACGCCGCGUGAGUGAAGAAGGUUUUCGGAUCGUAAAGCUCUGUUGUAAGAGAAGAACGAGUGUGAGAGUGGAAAGUUCACACUGUGACGGUAUCUUACCAGAAAGGGACGGCUAACUACGUG
rnacentral:rRNA from 1 species